rnacentral:rRNA from 6 species
GGAGGAAAAGAACUAACAAGGAUUCCCCUAGUAACUGCGAGUGAAGCGGGAAAAGCUCAAAUUUAAAAUCUGGCAGUCUUUGGCUGUCCGAGUUGUAAUCUAGAGAAGUGUUGCCCGCGCUGGACCGUGUACAAGUCUCCUGGGAUGGAGCGUCAUAGAGGGUGAGAAUCCCGUCUCUGACACGGACUACCAGGGCUUUGUGGUACGCUCUCAAAGAGUCGAGUUGUUUGGGAAUGCAGCUCAAAAUGGGUGGUAAAUUCCAUCUAAAGCUAAAUAUUGGCGAGAGACCGAUAGCGAACAAGUACCGUGAGGGAAAGAUGAAAAGAACUUUGGAAAGAGAGUUAAACAGUACGUGAAAUUGCUGAAAGGGAAACGCUUGAAGUCAGUCGCAUUAGCUGGGGAUCAGCCUUGCUUUUUGCUGGGUGUAUUUCCUGGUUGAUGGGUCAGCAUCAAUUUUGACCGCUGGAAAAAGGCUUGAGGAAUGUGGCACCUCCGUGGUGUGUUAUAGCUUCUUGUCAUAUACAGUGGUUGGGAUUGAGGAACUCAGCAUGCCGCAAGGCCGGGUUUCGACCACGUUCAUGCUUAGGAUGCUGACAAAAUGGCUUUA